rnacentral:rRNA from 1 species
CAGCCGCCGCGGUAAAACGGAGGGUGCAAGCGUUAAUCGGAAUUACUGGGCGUAAAGCGCACGCAGGCGGUUUGUUAAGUCAGAUGUGAAAUCCCCGAGCUUAACUUGGGAACUGCAUUUGAAACUGGCAAGCUAGAGUCUGGCAGAGGGGGGUGGAAUUCCGCGUGUAGCAGUGAAAUGCGUAGAUAUGCGGAGGAACACCGAUGGCGAAGGCAGCCCCCUGGGCCAACACUGACGCUCAUGCACGAAAGCGUGGGGAGCAAACAGGAUUAGAUACCCCUGUAGUCCCUGUCUCUUAUAU